AUACAUUUAAAGACACAGUGAUAAAAAAUAUGGAGCUAAAGAUUUGCCAUAGCAAUAAAUCGUCACCAAACUCCUUGCAUAUAGCUAGCGACGAAAUCUUGGGCUAGACCACCACAGCUUCGUGGCUUUUCCCCAUAUAGCGUACGUGAACCCCCUCGGUGUAAGGAUUAAAUGUAGUAUUACAGUUUUUUAUUUGGUUUGAAAAUGGACUAAACAAUCGGAAAUUUUCAAGCGGGAAAACUAGAAAUUUGAAAAGAGGUUUCAGUGGCCACCAUGGCACGGAAAAACAAAAAGUGUUCUGGAAUGGGUGAAAAUGUUUCAAAAUUCUGUGUUAUUAACAUUUGUUUUAUCUCAAACGAUUAUUUGAGAUAUCGAGUACAGCAAAUCCCUUCUGAAUUUUUCAAUCACCAAGAACUGGUAAAGAAAGUGCUGAAAACAAGUUCGAAAUUUGUACUGACUUUUUUUAUAAAUAUUUUGGCUAAGGAUAUUUGGCAGCUUAGUACGCCAUUUCGUUCCAAUAUGUUGAACUUGAAUUUUUUUAAAUUCACAACUUAUUUAUGGAUCUAGGCAAAGUGAUAAAGUUGUUUUGAAACAAAUAUAACAUUUCUAAAACUGUAAAAAAAUACCACUUUUAAUAACGUUCCUGAACAUUAGUUUUCGUUGUAUCAUUUUAUGUUUAGUUAUUUUAAUGCAUGCAGAAUGGAAGAAUGAAAAUCUUUUUUCCAGUGGUUUUCAAGAUAAGGCUACAUGUAAAUCCCAUGAGAAAUAAAUUAUUAAUAUUUUGUUUGUCACAAAAUCUAUCUACUUCUGACAGAGCCUUUAAAUAUUUCUGGUGUUAAUAAAAUUUUAACUUAAAUGUUUGUUUCAGCUGACAAUCCACGUGAUUCAACAAAUGGGUUAAUUUCUUAGGUUGUAAUCUGUGCUUGUUUUCGAAUCCAUCUUUACGUCUUUUAUUCCGUCAUAAUAUAGGUUCAAGAAUAUGAAGAGAUUAGUUGAAAAAUAUUAAUUGUAAUCACAACUUCCAUAGAGCUACAUCACAAUCUCAAUAAUAUGUUGUUUAUUUCUUUA